CCCCUCUCAGGGUCGCAAUUGGAGACUUUCAAGUCCUCUACCAGUCUUGGCUAGGGGAGGGAGAGUCAAGCAGAGGCAUACUUAUUCCAUUCCUAGCUUGGGCAGUGGCUAGCAAGUGGAAGGCAAUCUGCUACAAAU